AUAUUGGACAAUGGGCGAAAGCCUGAUCCAGCCAUGCCGCGUGAGUGAUGAAGGCACUAGGGUUGUAAAGCUCUUUCAGCGGGGAAGAUAAUGACGGUACCCGCCGAAGAAGACCCGGCUAACUCAGUGCCAGUAGCCGCGGUAAUAAGAAGGGGGCUAGCGUUGUUCGGAAUUACUGGGCGUAAAGGGCCCGUAGGCGGAUUUGCAAGUUAGGGGUGAAAUCCCGGGGCUCAACCCCGGAACUGCCUCUAAAACUGCUAAUCUAGAGUUCGGGAGAGGUGAGUGGAAUUCCGAGUGUAGAGGUGAAAUUCGUAGAUAUUCGGAGGAACACCAGUGGCGAAGGCGGCUCACUGGCCCGAAGCUGACGCUGAGGCGCGAAAGCGUGGGGAGCAAACAGG
rnacentral:rRNA from 1 species